rnacentral:rRNA from 1 species
AGUAACGGCGAGUGAAGCGGCAACAGCUCAAAUUUGAAAUCUGGCCUCUCGGGGUCCGAGUUGUAAUUUGUAGAGGAUGUUUUGGGUACCGCCCCGGUCUAAAUUUCUUGGAACAGAAUGUCAGAGAGGGUGAGAAUCCCGUCUUGGACCGGCGGUAGGGCCUGUGUAAACCUCCUUCGACGAGUCGAGUUGUUUGGGA